rnacentral:rRNA from 1 species
GAAACAGGUUAAUAUUCCUGUACUUGGUGUUACUGCGAAGGGGGGACGGAGAAGGCUAUGUUAGCCGGGCGACGGUUGUCCCGGUUUAAGCAUGUAGGCGGAGGUUCCAGGUAAAUCCGGUACCUUUUAACGCUGAGGUGUGAUGACGAGGCACUACGGUGCUGAAGUAACAAAUGCCCUGCUUCCAGGAAAAGCCUCUAAGCAUCAGGUAACAUUGAAUCGUACCCCAAACCGACACAGGUGGGCAGGUUGAAUAUACCAAGGCGCUUGAGAGAAUGGUGUUGAAGGAACUCGGCAAAUUGCCCCCGUAACUUCGGGAGAAGGGGGCCCACCGUGAAGGCAACUUUACGGUGGGGGCACAGACUAGGGGGUGGCGACUGUUUACUAAA